UGGGGAAUAUUACACAAUGGGGGAAACCCUGAUGCAGCGACGCCGCGUGAGCGAAGAAGGUUUUCGAAUCGUAAAGCUCUGUCCUAUGAGAAGAUAAUGACGGUAUCAUAGGAGGAAGCCCCGGCUAAAUACGUGCCAGCAGCCGCGGUAAUACGUAUGGGGCGAGCGUUGUCCGGAAUUAUUGGGCGUAAAGGGUACGUAGGCGGUCUAUUAAGUCAGGUGUGAAAGCGUGAGGCUUAACCUCAUUAAGCACUUGAAACUGAUAGACUUGAGUGAAGGAGAGGAAAGUGGAAUUCCUAGUGUAGCGGUGAAAUGCGUAGAUAUUAGGAGGAAUACCGGUGGCGAAGGCGACUUUCUGGACUUUUACUGACGCUCAGGUACGAAAGCGUGGGGAGCAAACAGG
rnacentral:rRNA from 1 species